CGCGGCGCCAGCGGGAGCGAGCCGACCGAGCCGUGCGCACCGCCGCAGCUCCAGCGCCGUCCGCAGCAGACCCGGAGGCCCGCGGCCCUUCUCUGGAACGCGCUGGUGGUUCCCUGGUAACAGGUAAGCGCGACCGAGGGAGACGGCCUGGAAGCCCGGGCGGGAGGGCGGCUUCCUGCGGUAGAGGAGCUCGAGGUGGAGACCCUCGGAGAAGGGGCGCUGUGAACAAUGGGCGUUAUCCGCUGCGCGCUCUCCUCACCGAUGCCCACUCCUCAGGUGCCCAGGCGAGCCUCGGAACAGUCCACGUGUGACCGUCCCUCAGCGCUUAACCGCAUUUCAAGUCUCCAUUGCCCGUGACCUAGAGCCUGUGCAUUUCAUACCUUCGGUCUGAUUAUUUACGUCUUCUCUUCGAGCCGAUUUUCCCACCGGUUACUUGGUAGAUCUUUAGUACCACCCUGUCUGCUCCCCCCAUUUCUGAAUUUUCUUCUAUAGUGUCCUACUUGUCUCUGCAGAAAGGGCUUUGCGGGGUGAAAUAUGGUUUUUUUUUUUUUUGGGUAUUCCCGACCUUUUAACAGAACUCUCCUCCCCACCUCAAAUCUUUGCUCCGAAGAAACAGCUUUAGGUAGGAAAGGUGGAGCUCUCUGCUGGAGAACUGCCUGAUCCCAU
rnacentral:lncRNA from 1 species